UACGUAGGUGGCAAGCGUUGUCCGGAUUUACUGGGUGUAAAGGGCGUGUAGCCGGGCUGACAAGUCAGAUGUGAAAUCCGGGGGCUCAACCCCCGAACUGCAUUUGAAACUGUUGGUCUUGAGUAUCGGAGAGGCAGGCGGAACUCCUAGUGUAGCGGUGAAAUGCGUAGAUAUAUGGAAGAACACCAGUGGCGAAGGCGGCUCUCUGGCCUGUAACUGACACUGAGGUUCGAAAGCGUGGGUAGCAAACAGG
rnacentral:rRNA from 1 species